rnacentral:rRNA from 1 species
CCUACGGGUGGCAGCAGUGAGGAAUAUUGGUCAAUGGGCGAGAGCCUGAACCAGCCAAGUCGCGUGAGGGACGACGGUCCUAUGGAUUGUAAACCUCUUUUGUCGGGGAACAAAGGCGCCCACGGGUGGGCGGAUGAGUGUACCCGAAGAAAAAGCAUCGGCUAACUCCGUUCCAGCAGCCGCGGUAAUACGGGGGAUGCAAGCGGUAUCCGGAUUUAUUGGGGUAAACGGGUGCGUAGUCGGACCGUCAGAGCAGCGGUAAAAAUGCGGGGCUAAACGCCAAACAGCAGUUGAGACUGGCAGACUUGAGUGGGCGAGAGGGAUGCGGAAUGCGAAGUGUAGCAGUGAAAUGCGUAGAUAUCACGAAGAACUCCGAUUGCGAAGGCAGCAUACCGGCGCCCUACUGACGCUGAGGCACGAAAGCGUGGGUAUCGAACAGGAUUAGAUACCCCAGUAGUC